AUUCCAGCUCCAAUAGCGUAUACUAAAGUUGUUGCAGUUAAAAAGCUCGUAGUUGAAUUUCUGGAUGUGAAAGGUGGUCGGCACCUCACGGUGUCUGUACUUAUCAUUCGCGUCCAUCCUCGGGAGGAACAUGUGGACACUUAAGUGGGUCUGCUUGGGAAUCUCGUCAUUUACUGUGAGCAAAAUAGAGUGUUCAAAGCAGGCUUAUGCCGUUGAAUAUAUUAGCAUGGAAUAAUAAGAUACGACUUUGGUCUAUUUUGUUGGUUUACAUUCCAAAGUAAUGAUUAAUAGGGAUAGUUGGGGGUAUUCGUAUUCAAUUGUCAGAGGUGAAAUUCUUGGAUUUAUGGAAGACGAACUACUGCGAAAGCAUUUACCAAGGAUGUUUUCAUCG
rnacentral:rRNA from 1 species